GGCGGUGCUCGUACGUAUUUCGGUCUAGAUUGAUCUCGCUAUAAAAUAGUUGACGAACUUUAGAUUGAAUCAAACCAUGACGAGGACCGGGAGCUCCCGUUCGGCUCGUGAUGAUGCCACGGUCCUAGAGCUCCCUCGAUCAGAGGUUUCCCACUGACUGGCUAUCCGGUGGAUAGAUUCAUCCAGUCCUGGUGGGUUCUGUCACGUUACAGGCCUCACUCCCCCUAGGUUAGACAAAUUCAAAAUUAUCUGAGCACCGCCGAUGUGAGCUCCGCUUGUUAGGAGUUGUCAAAAUUUUUUUU
ensembl:ncRNA lfor-2 ncRNA